GGUAAGAUGGCUGAGUUUAGGCAGUGGAUUGUAGUCCCAUUUUACAGAGGUUAAAGUCCUCUUCUUAUCA
rnacentral:tRNA from 1 species